rnacentral:pre_miRNA from 7 species
AGGUUGUCUGUGAUGAGUUCGCUUUAUUAAUGACGAAUAUAACACAGAUGGCCUGU